CACUAUUAAGUUUGUAGUCAUAUAAUAAAUAUUAGAAAAACUUACAAUUACAUUUUUUUAACUUUUCGCAAUUUGCAUAUACAUUCUCAAACUUCUAAUUUUUUUCAAUUAGAUCCUAAAAUUUAAGAUUCAGUUGCAAUGUACCCUAACCAUCCUUCUCUAUUAUAAUCCAUAAAUAUGUGAUUAUCAUGUGAUAUAACUUUGGAUGUUAUAUUUCAUAAAUAACCCACCAUUUU
rnacentral:lncRNA from 1 species